AUUGAACGCUGGCGGCAUGCUUUACACAUGCAAGUCGAACGGUAACAGGCCUUCGGGUGCUGACGAGUGGCGAACGGGUGCGUAAUGCAUCGGAACGUACCCAGAGGUGGGGGAUAACGCAGCGAAAGCUGUGCUAAUACCGCAUGUGAUCUGAGGAUGAAAGCGGGGGACCGAGCAGCAAUGUUUGGCCUCGCGCCUUUGGAGCGGCCGAUGUCGGAUUAGCUAGUUGGUGGGGUAAAGGCCUACCAAGGCGACGAUCCGUAGCUGGUCUGAGAGGACGACCAGCCACACUAGGACUGAGACACGGCCCAGACUCCUACGGGAGGCAGCAGUGGGGAAUUUUGGACAAUGGGCGCAAGCCUGAUCCAGCAAUGCCGCGUGCGGGAAGAAGGCCUUCGGGUUGUAAACCGCUUUUGGCAGGAACGAAACGGUGUCCGCUAAUACCGGGCGCUAAUGACGGUACCUGCAGAAUAAGCACCGGCUAACUACGUG
rnacentral:rRNA from 1 species